UCCCUGGUGGCUCAGAUGGUAAAGAAUCUGCCUGCGAUGCAGGAGACCUGGGUUCGAUCCCUGGGUUGGGAA
rnacentral:tRNA from 1 species